rnacentral:rRNA from 1 species
AUUGAACGCUGGCGGCGUGCCUAACACAUGCAAGUCGAGCGGUAACAGGUGUAGCAAUACAUGCUGACGAGCGGCGAACGGGUGAGUAAUGCUUCGGAAUCUGCCCAUGUAGUGGGGAAUAACCAGCCGAAAGGUUGGCUAAUACCGCAUACGACCCUUGCCCACAAGGCAAAGGUGAAAGCAGGGGAUCGCAAGACCUUGCGCUAUUGGAUGAGCCGAAGUCGGAUUAGCUAGUUGGUAGGGUAACGGCCUACCAAGGCGACGAUCCGUAGCUGGUCUGAGAGGACGACCAGCCACACUGGGACUGAGACACGGCCCAGACUCCUACGGGAGGCAGCAGUGGGGAAUAUUGGACAAUGGGGCAACCCUGAUCCAGCGACGCCGCGUGUGUGAAGAAGGCCUGCGGGUUGUAAAGC